CGAAAUGCGAUAAGUAAUGUGAAUUGCAGAAUUCAGUGAAUCAUCGAAUCUUUGAACGCACAUUGCGCCCGCCAGUAUUCUGGCGGGCAUGCCUGUCCGAGCGUCAUUUCAACCAUCAAGCCCCCGGGCUUGUGUUGGGGACCUGCGGCUGCCCGCAGGCCCUGAAAACCAGUGGCGGGCUCACUGUCACACCGAGCGUAGUAGCAAUCACCUCGCUCAGGGCGUGCUGCGGGUUCCGGCCGUUAAACAGCCUUACAAAACCCAAGGUUGACCUCGGAUCAGGUAGGAAGACCCGCUGAACUUAAGC
rnacentral:misc_RNA from 1 species